UGACCUCGGAUCAGGUAGGGAUACCCGCUGAACUUAAGCAUAUCAAUAAGCGGAGGAAAAGAAACCAACAGGGAUUGCCUCAGUAACGGCGAGUGAAGCGGCAAGAGCUCAAAUU
rnacentral:rRNA from 1 species